UACAAAAUAAAAUAAUAUAAAAGAUUUCCGGAGCAGUCCUCGUAUUUACUUGGGGAGUACUGCCAUCUGCCGGUAGUUAUCUGGCCCCAGCGUGUCAGCUGGUUUGCUGUCAAUGCCGUUUUCGUGUCGGACUGUAGGUUAAUUUCCACGUGCAGUGCUGUCUAGAAUGUAACAAAUUAAUUGAUGCGGGAUUGAGGGCUGCGCCACCCGAACGGGGUAACCAACAGAACCUGCGGGCCCCUUAUGGUUAACGUAGGCGGGAGCACUGUGCCCCAGGUUUAGGCAGGACGGGGCGACGGGAAGAUACUACGGAGGUGUACUUCGUUUAAAACCAGGAGUCACGCUCCGAUUUUGUUUUGAAGACACGGACAGUAACCCGUUCGCUAGGGAGUACACCUAGGAACUGGAAUUACUCGGGGAAUUGGGAACUGGUCAGAGUAAUAGAGGGCUAACGGCAACACACUCAACACAAGGAACGACAGGGGGUGCAGGUUAACAACGGUUUUACAGGAAAUGGAACGACGGUUAAAGGUGCAGUAAUCAAUGACAGGUAAAUAAGGCUGGUUAAUAGCAAAAGGCACUGGUAAAGGUAGAAGCAAAAGUUACAAACACUGGACUGACACAGGUAUAUAUAUCUUGGAGAUCUGGUGGGGGAAGACGAUUAGGAGGGGCGAAAUUAAGUGGAAAUAUCUGGGGGAAAUCUUAUUUACUGGGUUGGGCAGAUUAUUUC